rnacentral:misc_RNA from 1 species
GACGACCACCAUAUAGAGAGCUUCACAUUUUCGACUUUUCUUUGGUUGCAGACUAACCUCCGAUCGCCUUUUCUUCUCUCUUUCUCGAUUCAGUUUGAGGUUUAUUAACAGCGAGGGAGAGAGAAUGUCGGGUGGGGGUACACAGAACAGCUUUAGAAAAGCACUGGGAGCCCUGAAGGAUACUACCACAGUUUCAUUAGCUAAAGUUAACAGUGAUUAUAAGGAGUUAGACAUUGCUAUAGUUAAGUCAACAAAUCAUGUUGAACGUCCUGCAAAGGAAAAACAUAUACGAGC